CCCUCGGUGGUCUAGGGGCUAAGAUUCAUCGUUCGCAGUCCACCAACUGCAUCCGAUAAGGUCGGGGGUUCGAGUCCCUCCCAGAUGGG